UCAAACAUGAGUCUCAAAACCAGAGUUGCUGGGUGGAGCACAGCUGUGAUUGAUUGAAGACCUUCACCAAGCUGUUUCUUGUGAGGACCCAACAUGCAGAGGCCUGUAUGUGCUGGUGGGACAAAUAAAGGAGACGCACAUCUUCAUUGAAGACAGGAAGCUCAGCAAUCAUCCAGAGCAGCUGGUGUUCAGUGAACUUUGUGGCAGAAGGAGAAGAGAAAAAAAAGACAUCUACAAACACCAAAGAGGCAGCCGGUUUUUCAGCUACUGUUAAAGGCUCAUAAUUUCCAACUCAAACAAACUCACUAACAAACCAAAAAAUGUGAGAUGAAACGUCACAGUGGUUGAUUAUUUGCCAAAUGGAAAUAAAUGUGAAGAUUGGAAACUUGGAAA